CCUACGGGAGGCAGCAGUGAGGAAUAUUGGUCAAUGGACGAGAGUCUGAACCAGCCAAGUAGCGUGAAGGAUGACUGCCCUAUGGGUUGUAAACCUCUUUUAUCUGGGAAUAAAACAGGGUAUGCAUACCCUCAUGUAUGUAUCAUAUGAAAAAGCAUCGGCUAACUCCGUGCCAGCAGCCGCGGUAAUACGGAGGAUCCGAGCGUUAUCCGGAUUUAUUGGGUUUAAAGGGUGCGUAGGUGGAUUGUUAAGUCAGUUGUGAAAUUUUGCGGCUCAACCGUAACAUUGCCGUUGAAACUGGCAGACUUGAGUACGGGAGAGGUGCGCGGAAUUCGCGGUGUAGCGGUGAAAUGCAUAGAGAUCACGAAGAACUCCGAUUGCGAAGGCAGCUCACUGGACUGAGACUGACACUGAGGCUCGAAAGUGUGGGGAUCAAACAGGAUUAGAUACCCUUGUAGUC
rnacentral:rRNA from 1 species